AUGUGCUCGCGGCCUAUCAGCUUGUUGGUGGGGUAAUGGCCUACCAAGGCUUCGACGGUAGCCGGCCUGAGAGGGUGACCGGCCACACUGGGACUGAGACACGGCCCAGACUCCUACGGGAGGCAGCAGUGGGGAAUAUUGGACAAUGGGCGGAAGCCUGAUCCAGCAACGCCGCGUGAGGGAUGACGGCCUUCGGGUUGUAAACCUCUUUCAGUACCGACGAAGCGCCGAUGAUGGUGGUGACGGUAGGUACAGAAGAAGCACCGGCCAACUACGUG
rnacentral:rRNA from 1 species